UACGUAGGGUGCGAGCGUUGUCCGGAAUUAUUGGGCGUAAAGAGCUCGUAGGCGGUCUGUCGCGUCUGCUGUGAAAUCCCGAGGCUCAACCUCGGGCUUGCAGUGGGUACGGGCAGGCUAGAGUGCGGUAGGGGGGAAUGGAACUCCUGGUGUAGCGGUGGAAUGCGCAGAUAUCAGGAGGAACACCGGUGGCGAAGGCGGGUCUCUGGGCCGAUACUGACGCUGAGGAGCGAAAGCGUGGGGAGCAAACAGG
rnacentral:rRNA from 1 species